GAAGCGUUAGCAAGGCCUUGCAGGGGGAGUGCAGCUGGUGCUUAGCAUAUGGUGGGAGUAUGGUAAGACAGGAUCAUUUAGGGCUUUGAAGGUUGUUGUAAGAACUUGGGCUUCCCCCCAACCCCCCAAUUUGGAACACACUGGAGGGAUUAGAGAGACAGCG